GAUGAACGCUGGCGGCGUGCCUAAUACAUGCAAGUCGAGCGAACAGAUGAGGAGCUUGCUCCUCUGACGUUAGCGGCGGACGGGUGAGUAACACGUGGAUAACCUACCUAUAAGACUGGGAUAACUUCGGGAAACCGGAGCUAAUACCGGAUAAUAUAUUGAACCGCAUGGUUCAAUAGUGAAAGACGGUUUUGCUGUCACUUAUAGAUGGAUCCGCGCCGCAUUAGCUAGUUGGUAAGGUAACGGCUUACCAAGGCAACGAUGCGUAGCCGACCUGAGAGGGUGAUCGGCCACACUGGAACUGAGACACGGUCCAGACUCCUACGGGAGGCAGCAGUAGGGAAUCGUCCGCAAUGGGCGAAAGCAUGACGGAGCAACGCCGAGUGAGUGAUGAAGGUCUUCGGAUCGUAAAACUCUGUUAUUAGGGAAGAACAAAUGUGUAAGUAAAUAUGCACGUCUUGACGGUACCUAAUCAGAAAGCCACGGCUAACUACGUG
rnacentral:rRNA from 1 species